GGUGGAACGAGGGCUUAACUGUCUCCCCCUCCUAGUCAAUGAAAUUGAUCUACCCGUGCAGAAGCGGGUAUAAUAAUACAAGACGAGAAGACCCUUUGGAGCUUAAGAUAAAAGACCAAUUAUGUCAAAAGUCCUAAAAACUAAACUAAAUAAUGCUGGUCCUAAUCUUCGGUUGGGGUGACCACGGGAGAAAACAAAGCUCCCAUGCGGACUGGGGUUUCCCUAAAACUAAGAGAGACAUCUCUAAGACACAGAACAUCUGACCACAAAGAUCCGGCUACACGCCGACCAACGGACCAAGUUACCCUAGGGAUAACAGCGCAAUCCUCUUCCAGAGUCCAUAUCGACAAGAGGGUUUACGACCUCGAUGUUGGAUCAGGAC
rnacentral:rRNA from 1 species